CUGGGCGGUGUUAAUUGGCGGAAUAUGCAAGGAAACUGCAAGGAAUUCAGUAUAGUUGGAGUGAGAAGCUGGAGAGGCAGACAAUACCAAGAAGAUCCUAGAAGAGGCUAAGCCACAUAGGAUGCAAUUCCAAACUGAAAAGUCACUCUUUCCAGGAGAAGAGUGGGCAGUGGGCAGAGAGAAGCCAGGACCAGGAGACUAAUUCUGAUAGAGAAUGUGUUGGUGUUGCCUUUGGAAUGGGCCAAUGAAAGCAUGUGAAGAUUUUUGAGGCAUCAAUGAAAAGAGCUUGGAUCCCUAAUUUUGGGCAUGUACAGAAAGGGAACCCUACCACACACCUUUGUCUACUUGUCUUCCUCUAACACCACACAUUCAAAUAUAGAUGUCUAGUGUCCAGCCAGGACCUAAAUGGGGACCAUCAUUAUAAAUAUUCUUUAUUCUAACCCUAGCAUCUAGCCCAGUACCAAGAAAUGGUGAAUCAAUAGUAUAUGCUAAAUCAGUACAUUAAUUUAAACAUCAAAGACAUUAUGUGUUCACUUUGGUUGGACCCCUUGUUUCUUAGAUAUUCCUAGGGCAAUCCUGAAUGGCAAGAGCAGAGGCAAUAGAGGAAAGCAAAGGACCACAGGGUUUUGUCACUUCAACCAUCAAAACGAGAGAGAUGCAUGCCAUAGUGAGAAAAAGAGCUAUUCUAAAAUACAACUGGCUCUCAUACAAGAGAGUGAGCUGUGGGCAGGGUAGAAGGGAGGUGGAGGUGGAGGCAGGGUGGCAUCAAGCAGAAGCUGCAUGACCAUGAGUUGCAUUGAGGACAGUGCAAUAGAGGGAUGCCUGCACAGAGUCAGAGCUGGACUGUAUCACCAUCCCCACCCCUGGCUGAAGCAGAAUUAACUGUGGAUGAGAUUUUCUAAAAAAAAACCUCAUUCCUAGGCCGUCUACU